GACGAACGCUGGCGGCGUGCCUAAUACAUGCAAGUAGAACGCUGACUACUUUAGCUUGCUAGAGUAGAAGGAGUUGCGAACGGGUGAGUAACGCGUAGGUAACCUGCCUACUAGCGGGGGAUAACUAUUGGAAACAGGUGCUAAUACCGCAUAACAGUUUAUGCCGCAUGGCAUAAGAGUGAAAGGCGCUUUCGGGUGUCGCUGAUGGAUGGACCCGCGGUGCAUUAGCUAGUUGGUGAGGUAACGGCUCACCAAGGCCACGAUGCAUAGCCGACCUGAGAGGGUGAUCGGCCACACUGGGACUGAGACACGGCCCAG
rnacentral:rRNA from 1 species